CCUACGGGUGGCAGCAGUGGGGAAUAUUGCACAAUGGGGGAAACCCUGAUGCAGCGAAGCCGCGUGAAGGAAGAAGUAUUUAGGUAUGUAAAAUUCUAUCAGCCGGGAAGCAAAUGACUGUACCUGACUAAGAAGCCCCGGCUAACUACGUGCCAGCAGCCGCGGUAACACGUAGGGGGCAAGCGUUAUCCGGAUUUACUGGGUGUAAAGUGAGCGUAGGCGGUUUAGCAAGUCAGAAGUGAAAGCCCGGGGCUCAACGCCGGGACUGCUUUUGAAACUGGUGAACGAGAGUGCAGGAGAGGUAAGUGGAAUUCCAGGUGUAGCGGUGAAAUGCGUAGAUAUUAGGAGGAACACCAGUGGCGAAGGCGACUUACUGGACUAUAAAUGACGCUGAGGCUCGAAAGCGUGGGGAGCAAACAGGAUUAGAUACCCUGGUAGUC
rnacentral:rRNA from 1 species